UACGUAGGGUGCAAGCGUUGUCCGGAAUUAUUGGGCGUAAAGAGCUCGUAGGCGGUCUGUUGCGUCGGCUGUGAAAACCCGAGGCUCAACCUCGGGCCUGCAGCCGAUACGGGCAGACUAGAGUUCGGCAGGGGAGACUGGAAUUCCCGGUGUAGCGGUGAAAUGCGUAGAUAUCGGGAGGAAUACCUAUGGCGAAAGCAGGCUUCUGGGCCGUCACUGACACUGAUCUGCGAAAGCUAGGGGAGCAAACAGG
rnacentral:rRNA from 1 species